CCUACGGGAGGCAGCAGUGGGGAAUUUUGGACAAUGGACGCAAGUCUGAUCCAGCAAUGCCGCGUGCAGGAUGAAGGCCUUCGGGUCGUAAACUGCUUUUGUACGGAACGAAAAGGUCUGCCCUAAUACGGUGGGCCCAUGACGGUACCGUAAGAAUAAGCACCGGCUAACUACGUGCCAGCAGCCGCGGUAAUACGUAGGGUGCAAGCGUUAAUCGGAAUUACUGGGCGUAAAGCGUGCGCAGGCGGUUAUAUAAGACAGAUGUGAAAUCCCCGGGCUCAACCUGGGACCUGCAUUUGUGACUGUAUAGCUAGAGUACGGUAGAGGGGGAUGGAAUUCCGCGUGUAGCAGUGAAAUGCGUAGAUAUGCGGAGGAACACCGAUGGCGAAGGCAAUCCCCUGGACCUGUACUGACGCUCAUGCACGAAAGCGUGGGGAGCAAACAGGAUUAGAUACCCUGGUAGUCCACGCCCUAAACGAUGUCACUGGUUGUGNUCUUACUNUAUNUAGUACGAGACGACGNGNGAGUGACGCGNGGNGGUAACGGUCGCGAGUUAGUAAGUUANAAGUAGAGUUGNGGCGNGAGAGNGCGAGGCGACGACGAGGGAGGAGG
rnacentral:rRNA from 1 species